CAAGAACGAACGCUGGCGGCGUGCCUAACACAUGCAAGUCGAGCGAGAAAGGGGUAGCAAUACCCCGAGUAAAGCGGCGCACGGGUGAGUAACACGUAGGUAACCUACCUCUAAGACCGGGAUAACUCGUCGAAAGAUGGGCUAAUACCAGAUAAGACCACAGUCUCUACGGAGAUCGGGGUCAAAGGUGGCCUCUGCAUGCAAGCUAUCACUUAGAGAUGGGCCUGCGCACCAUUAGCUAGUUGGUAGGGUAACGGCCUACCAAGGCAAAGAUGGUUAGCUGGUCUGAGAGGAUGACCAGCCACACUGGAACUGAGACACGGUCCAGACUCCUACGGGAGGCAGCAGUGGGGAAUCUUGCGCAAUGGGCGAAAGCCUGACGCAGCAACGCCGUGUGGGUGAUGAAGGCCUUCGGGUCGUAAAGCCCUGUCGGAAGGAACGAAUGUCCCUGGGGUGAACAAUCCCAGGGAGUGACGGUACCUUCAAAGGAAGCACCGGCUAACUCCGUGCCAGCAGCCGCGGUAA
rnacentral:rRNA from 1 species